GACGAACGCUGGCGGCGUGCUUAACACAUGCAAGUCGAACGGAAAGGCUGGGCUUUUGACUGGGGGGCUUGGGGGGCAACGGGUUGGUAAACCGGGGGAAACCCGCCCUUGACUCCGGGGAAAGCCUGGGAAACCGGGUCUAAAACGGGAUAAAGCUUUUGCCUCCAUGGGGGGGUGUGGAAAGGGCUUUGGUGGUUUUGGAUGGGCCCACGGCCUAUCAGCUUGUUGGUGGGGUAAUGGCCCACCAAGGCGACGACGGGUAGCCGGCCUGAGAGGGUGACCGGCCACACUGGGACUGAGACACGGCCCAGACUCCUACGGGAGGCAGCAGUGGGGAAUAUUGCACAAUGGGCGGAAGCCUGAUGCAGCGACGCCGCGUGAGGGAUGACGGCCUUCGGGUUGUAAACCUCUUUCAGCACGGAAGAAGCGAGAGUGACGGUACGUGCAGAAGAAGCGCCGGCUAACUACGUG
rnacentral:rRNA from 1 species